UACGAAGGGUGCAAACGUUGCUCGGAAUCAUUGGGCGUAAAGCGCACGUAGGCGGCUUCGCAAGUCGGAUGUGAAAUCCCUCGGCUCAACCGAGGACGUGCAUACGAAACUGCGGAGCUUGAGUGCCGAAGAGGAUCGCGGAAUUCCCGGUGUAGAGGUGAAAUUCGUAGAUAUCGGGAGGAACACCAGUGGCGAAGGCGGCGAUCUGGGCAGACACUGACGCUGAGGUGCGAAAGCGUGGGGAGCAAACAGG
rnacentral:rRNA from 1 species